AAGUGUAAUUAGUAUCCAUCUAAGUGUCUACGCAUCUACUGCAAUAUUCUGAAGUAAUAAUGACAAUAAUAUUUUUCUGUGCUUUUAAAUACUAAUACACCACAAAUGAAGGGAUGCAUGUUGUGUAUGGAAUGUAGCAUAGUAGUUUGAACUGCAUUUUAUUUCCUUAGAAUUCAGAUUCUUAAAACUUCGUUUGAAAAAAACAUCUACCACACUGUUGAUUACGAGGAACAUAUUUUUACUUCUGAGAAGACAUGAAAGGACUUCAAGAGAAACUUCUUAAAGAAAUGAUUUCAGAAGAUUUCCUACGAGAACAACCUGUGAGUCAUAAUUUGCUCUUGUCAGGUAGUAACUAGGAUAUUUCUUCUGAAUAUCUAAAACAUGCAGCUUCUAAGCUAAUACUUCUCUUAAUUUUCUUUUACAUUAGAAAAAACCAAACUACCUUGUAUUUUAAAGUUCCUAAGCAACCUUUUAGUUUUUAUUUACAAUCCUGCAAAUGCACUUUAAAUUCUUCAGGUCUAGAACAAUACCUUUAAUAUUUUUCAUUUAAGUUCUGUUAAAGAAGCGGGGGGAGGAGAGAAGGAUUUACAGCUGAUCASGGAGAAGUAAUGGUUGGAGAGACUAACUCAUUGAAUGUGGAUGUUUUAGAGCUUGCCUACAUAAUCAGAUGCAGAGCUGCCUKUUUAGCAUGGCACUGAUUCCAGGUGGACAUCCCAGCAUCUUAGUAGUUUGAAGCCAGGACUGCCCU
rnacentral:lncRNA from 1 species